rnacentral:rRNA from 1 species
AGAAUCAACGCUGGCGGCGUGCCUAACACAUGCAAGUCGCACGAGAAAGGGGAGCAAUCCCUGAGUAAAGUGGCGCACGGGUGAGUAACACGUGAAUCAUCUACCUCCGAGUGGGGAAUAACCUAGAGAAAUCUGGGCUAAUACCGCAUAACACUUACGAGUCAAAGCAGCAAUGCGCUUGGAGAGGAGUUCGCGGCCGAUUAGUUAGUUGGCGGGGUAAUGACCCACCAAGACGAUGAUCGGUA